rnacentral:rRNA from 1 species
AGAGUUUGAUCAUGGCUCAGGAUGAACGCUAGCUACAGGCUUAACACAUGCAAGUCGAGGGGCAGCAUGUCGGUUGCUUGCAACCGACGAUGGUGACCGGCGCACGGGUGAGUAACGCGUAUCCAACCUACCCUUGUCCAUCGGAUAACCCGUCGAAAGGCGGCCUAACACGAUAUGCGGUUCACAGCAGGCAUCUAAGGUGAGCGAAAUGUAAAGGAGAAGGAUGGGGACGCGUCUGAUUAGCUUGUUGGCGGGGUAACGGCCCACCAAGGCUACGAUCAGUAGGGGUUCUGAGAGGAAGGUCCCCCACAUUGGAACUGAGACACGGUCCAAACUCCUACGGGAGGCAGCAGUGAGGAAUAUUGGUCAAUGGACGGGAGUCUGAACCAGCCAAGUAGCGUGCAGGAUGACGGCCCUAUGGGUUGUAAACUGCUUUUAUAGGGGGAUAAAGUGUGCCACGUGUGGCAUAUUGCAGGUACCCUAUGAAUAAGGACCGGCUAAUUCCGUGCCAGCAGCCGCGGUAAUACGGAAGGUCCGGGCGUUAUCCGGAUUUAUUGGGUUUAAAGGGAGCGUAGGCCGUCUUAUAAGCGUGUUGUGAAAUGUCGGGGCUCAACCUGGGCAUUGCAGCGCGAACUGUGAGACUUGAGUGCGCAGGAAGUAGGCGGAAUUCGUCGUGUAGCGGUGAAAUGCUUAGAUAUGACGAAGAACUCCGAUUGCGAAGGCAGCCUGCUGUAGCGCAACUGACGCUGAAGCUCGAAAGCGUGGGUAUCGAACAGGAUUAGAUACCCUGGUAGUCCACGCGGUAAACGAUGGAUGCUCGCUGUUUGCGUCUGACGUAAGCGGCCAAGCGAAAGCGUUAAGCAUCCCACCUGGGGAGUACGCCGGCAACGGUGAAACUCAAAGGAAUUGACGGGGGCCCGCACAAGCGGAGGAACAUGUGGUUUAAUUCGACGCAACGCGAAGAACCUUACCAAGGCUUGACAUUGAAUGACCGCUCCAGAGAUGGAGCUUUCCCUUCGGGGACAUGAAAACAGGUGGUGCAUGGCUGUCGUCAGCUCGUGUCGUGAGAUGUUGGGUUAAGUCCCGCAACGAGCGCAACCCCUAUCCUAUGUUACCAGCGGGUAAUGCCGGGGACUCAUAGGAGACUGCCAAGGACAACUUGGAGGAAGGCGGGGAUGACGUCAAGUCAUCAUGCCCCUUAUGUCUUGGGCUACACACGUACUACAAUGGUCGGCAACAGAGGGAAGCAAAGCCGUGAGGCAGAGCAAACCCCAGAAACCCGAUCCCAGUUCGGAUUGCAGGCUGCGACUCGCCUGCAUGAAGUCGGAAUCGCUAGUAAUCGCAGGUCAGCAUACUGCGGUGAAUACGUUCCCGGGCCUUGUACACACCGCCCGUCACACCACGAAAGUUGGUAACACCCGAAGCCGGUGGGGUAACCGUAAGGAGCCAGCCGUCUAAGGUGGGGCCGA